rnacentral:lncRNA from 15 species
AUGGUAGCAACUACAACACCUGCUCUGACUACAACCACUGCUGCAACAACCAUGGUAGCAACCACAACAGCUAGUCCCACCACAACCACUUCUGCAACAACGACAGCUGCUCCAACUACAACAACGGUAGCAAUGACAACAGCUUCUCCGACUACAACAACUGCUGCAACACCCACAGCUGCUCUGACCACAACCACUGCUGCAACAACGACAGCUGCUCUAACUACAACAACGGCAGUAACGACAACAGCGGCUCCAACUACAACUACUGCUGCAACAACAACAGCUGCUCCGACUACAUCAGUGGCACCAACCACCACCAAUGCUGCAACUACACCACCUCCUCUGACUACAACCACUGCUCCAACAACCACAGCUGCUCCGACUACACCAACGACAGCGACGACAACAGCUGGUCCAACCACUACCACUGCUGCAACGACUAGACCUGCUCUGACUACAACCACUGCUGCAACAACGACAGCUACUCCAACUAAAACCACUGCUGCAACAACAACAGCUGGUCUGACUACAACCACUGCUGCAACAACAACGGUUGCUCCAACUACAACCACUGCCUCAACAACAACAGCUGGUCAAACCACAAGCACUGCUGCAAUGACAACACCUGUUCCAACAACAACCACUCCUUCAGCAACAUCUGCUCUGACUACAACAACAGCAGCAACAACAACAACCACUUUUGUAACAACAACACCAGUUCCAACCACGACGACAACAACAACAACAACAACAGGGGCAACAACAACUCCUUCUCCAACAACAACAACAGCAGCAAUGACAACUGUUGCUCCAACAACAACUACAACUGUUGCUGAACCUGUUUAUACUGUUAGAGCAACCUUGGCAAAAGAAUUUUCAAAUGAACUCACUGAUCCCAACAGUAGUCAAUUCAAAGACCUUGAAAAAGAAGUUGUAUCAAUGUGUAAGGACAUAUAUGGAAAAGCAUUUGGUCGUCGUUUUAAGCGCUGCUUUGUGAAACAGUUCAGGGCUGUUCCACCCCCAGCAAGAGCAGAAGGAACUCAAGUAGAUAUUGGGAUUGUGUUCAGUGAGACUACUCCUCCUGCAGAACUCCCAAAGAAUAAUGUCAUUGCUCAAACCUUUGCAAACGCUCUGACUAAUUCCAACAAUACCUUCAACGUGAGCAUAAGUCCUUCCUCUGUUGAAAUAGCUGACGGGCCAGUUCCAGAUACAACUACACCUGCCAAUACUACACCUGUUGGACCUGCUACGGCAGCAACUUCAACUGCCAAUCCAACAACUGCUGGACUUCCAACUACCGCAAUCACAAUAAUAAGGGCAUCUUUCAGAUCUCGUCUUCAGGAAUUUUCAAGUGACUUGCUGAAUUCAUCAUCUCCAGCUUUUAUAAGUCGAGCUGCAAUGAUAAAGACACAGCUUCAACCUUUCUUCCAAGCAGCAUUCCCAUCCUCCUUCCAGUCCUUGAACGUAAAGUCAUUCAGAAGUGGAUCAAUCAUCAACGAAAUGAACCUUGGCUUUGCAAGUACAUCUGUUCCUAACAACACUCAGAUUGCGAAUGUUUUAAUCAACGCAUCUUCAACCAUCAGCGGUUUCGACAUUGAAGGCAGCUCCAUCACCGUGAAUGACAUACCUUCAAGUGGAGUAAGCCACAAGAUCAGUUUCGUCACUGCAUCCUGCCUUGUACUGUUGUCAUGGCUACUGUCAAGCCAGCAAUAGUUUAGAUGAACUUACUACAAAUUUAACUUUGCACUUAACUGACAUAUUUAUGACUGGUGGAUUAGGUAUGGUUGUCUAACUGAACACAUUUCUGUGUGGAAACGUCCAGGAUCCUGGAACAGAUAGUAUGACAGGGAACUUUAUACACACUAGUGACUGAAUCAUCACUAGAAUAAUAAGCCAAACUAUAUAAGAACACUAUCUAUUAAACCAUGGGAUGUCAGAAAAAUAAUUACUGCACUAUUGCACUAUUAAUGUAAAAAUUCAUCUUGCUUCACUGAGCACUGUGCUAUAGCUAUAUUUAACUUUGAGUCAAUUGAUAAUGCGUUGUUUAGUCUUGUUCACGUAAAAGUGAAAGUAAAACCAUGAAUUCACUCUUAAAUCAACGACAAUAUUUUUUUUAAACAUGCUUGAUUGAUAAAUGUGAGUGCUAGAUUUCACAGUGUUAAGUAAAUCUUCAUCAAAACGUUUUUUGUCAUUUUUACAAAGAAACAAUCAACAUCCUCCCAUUUUACUUUGAUCUAAAACUUUACUUUGAUCUAAAACUUUUUUUUAAAUUUUCAUCAAAUUCAGACAACAUAACAUAACAGCAUCAGUACAUCUCCACAGAGAGCAUAUUGUAAAGGGAACAAGAGCUUUAAAUUAAAUGAAGGAAAAAGUGGAGCUCAUAGUGGGCUCAUAAUGAAUUUUAUCAAGGGUCAUGGUAAACACAUGUAAAAAAAAAUGUUUUUAUUAUAUUAAUAUUUUUAUUUAUACAAUGUGUAUUUAUGUAAUCAUAAUGUAUCUAGCUAUAUUCUGAGAUUUCUUGUAAUUUAUACAAUUUCUGUCAGAAACAUUACAAAUGAUCAGAAUAAAACAUUUUUGAAGAAUUGAAAUCAUCUCUGGUGUCAUGUUUU